rnacentral:rRNA from 1 species
GACAGAGGAUGCAAGCGUUAUCCGGAAUGAUUGGGCGUAAAGCGUCUGUAGGUGGCUUUUUAAGUCCGCCGUCAAAUCCCAGGGCUCAACCCUGGACAGGCGGUGGAAACUACCAAGCUGGAGUACGGUAGGGGCAGAGGGAAUUCCCGGUGUAGUGGUGAAAUGCGUAGAGAUCGGGAGGAACACCUGUGGCGAAGGCGGGUCUCUGGGCAACAACUGACGCUGAGGAGCGAAAGCGUGGGGAGCGAACAGG